CCAGAAUAUAAAACGAUUUUCUCUGGAAAGUGGAGUCUUCGAGUUUUCCGCUCCAAAGCAAGCAGAGGAGAGAGAGAGAGAUAGGGAGAGAGGUGAAACCAGCGUCUAUCCAUGACUGAAGCGAUCCAGAAAUGAUUCAAUGUUCUGAGAGAACUCAUCUGGUGGCCACACAUUUCAUUGCAUGGCCUACCAUGCAAGAACCGCACCGGUUUGAUUGUAGAAGAUGUGCAUUGGAAGGCUACGGUAUUUCGAAUUGGGUGAUUUUGAGGAUGUCCGCAAACCAUUGUGGGGCUUAUUAAGCGAACGGAGGAGGAGAAGACUUCGUGGGAAGAACGCUACAGAAAACUGGAGAAUGUAUGUAUUUUGAUGACUAGGAAAUCACAAAUUCCAAAUCCCACAUUUGAAAAAGAAAAUGAAUGGCACAUUUGCAUGAGCAGUGGGCUUGGAUAGGACCAUUUUCGUGUCGUGGGGCCUACAAUGAACUUGAUUUCAAUGCGUAGGCAGUGGGCCUGGAUAGGGCAGGGCCAGGGUUGGCCCCCUAAGUCCUGGUGAUGGCCUUGUCCUUAAUGGAGCUUGGUCUAGUCCCCUAGCUCUGGCACUGACCCUACAGAGUAGGGCUGGGCUAGAUUUAAGAUGGUUUCAGAUAGUCUUUUUCCUCUCUUCCUCUUAUGGUUGAGUCCCAUCAAAUAAAAGGUUUGGAUUGUUGAAACA